rnacentral:rRNA from 1 species
UACAGAGGUCUCAAGCGUUGUUCGGAUUCAUUGGGCGUAAAGGGCGCGUAGGCUGCGGGGCAAGUCGGGUGUGAAAUCUCAGAGCUCAACUCUGAAACUGCACUCGAUACUGCUUUGCUUGAGGACUGGAGAGGAGAUUGGAAUUCACGGUGUAGCAGUGAAAUGCGUAGAUAUCGUGAGGAACACCCAUGGCGAAGGCAGCGCUCUGGUCGGCAUCUGACGCUGAGAGGCGAAAGCGUGGGGAGCGAACGGG